rnacentral:rRNA from 1 species
GACGAACGCUGGCGGCGUGCUUAACACAUGCAAGUCGAGCGGUAAGGCCCUUUCGGGGGUACGACGAGCGGCGAACGGGUGAGUAACACGUGGGUGACCUGCCUUUAGCUCUGGGAUAAGCCUGGGAAACCGGGUCUAAUACCGGAUAUGACUCCGCGGCGCAUGUUGUGGGGUGGAAAGCCUUGUGCGGCUGGAGAUGGGCCCGCGGCCUAUCAGCUUGUUGGUGGGGUGAUGGCCUACCAAGGCGACGACGGGUAGCCGGCCUGAGAGGGCGACCGGCCACACUGGGACUGAGACACGGCCCAGACUCCUACGGGAGGCAGCAGUGGGGAAUCUUGCGCAAUGGGCGAAAGCCUGACGCAGCGACGCCGCGUGAGGGAUGACGGCCUCGGUUGUAACU